rnacentral:rRNA from 1 species
UGGGGAAUCUUGCGCAAUGGGCGAAAGCCUGACGCAGCGACGCCGCGUGUGGGAUGACGGCCUUCGGGUUGUAAACCACUGUCGGGAGGGACGAAGAUCUGACGGUACCUCCAAAGGAAGCACCGGCUAACCCUGUUCCAGCAGCCGCGGUAAUACAGAGGGUGCGAGCGUUUUCCGGAAUCACUGGGCGUAAAGGGCGCGUAGGCGGCCUGGUAAGUAGGGGGUGAAAUCCUGCGGCUCAACCGCAGGGCUGCCUUCUAAACUGUCAGGCUGGAGCACGGUAGAGGCAGAUGGAAUUCCCGGUGUAGCGGUGGAAUGCGUAGAGAUCGGGAAGAACACCAGUGGCGAAGGCGGUCUGCUGGGCCGUUGCUGACGCUGAGGCGCGACAGCGUGGGGAGCAAAC